rnacentral:lncRNA from 1 species
UCAGGGACUCCCGACCUUCAGGGAUGUGGCCAUAGAAUUCUCUCAGGAGGAAUGGGAUGCUUGAACCACAGUCAGCGGGAGCUGUACAGGGGUGUGAUGUUAGAGACCUAUGGACACCUCCUCUUCUUG